UACGUAGGGCGCAAGCGUUAUCCGGAAUUAUUGGGCGUAAAGAGCUCGUAGGCGGUUUGUCGCGUCUGCCGUGAAAGUCCGGGGCUCAACUCCGGAUCUGCGGUGGGUACGGGCAGACUAGAGUGAUGUAGGGGGAGACUGGAAUUCCUGGUGUAGCGGUGAAAAUGCGCAGAUAUCAGGAGGAACACCGAUGCGAAGGCAGGGUCUCUGGGCAUUUAACUGACGUGAGGAGCGAAAAGCAUGGGGGAGC
rnacentral:rRNA from 1 species